GGGACGGUGACAUUCAAGGAGGGGUGAAUGUAAUGGGUAGGACGGAGACGAUUAGAAUUGCACCUUGAUUGGAUCAGGUGGGUGCCACUUGGCGCUGCCCAGUUAAAUAUAGCCGUGUCUUCCGGUGUCUUGAUUAGUGCCUUUCGUUACUUGGCUGUAGCCUACACAGGAGCUCUUUUGUUGUGCGAGUGAACCCUGGCUUGGUGCCUGUGAUCCUUCACUGGAGUGUGUGUUUGUGUCCAAACUUCGCCUGACAAACUUUUUGGCUGUGGGCCCGUGUGUUUCAACAAAAACGUAAGUUCCCUGCUUUUACGUAUGUGCAACCUGUCCGCACUUUAGCCAUAGGCAGUUGCCCUUAUGAGUCACGUUUAUUUGCAUUUUGUUCACAGUGGCCACCUAUAUAGAGUGAGAGGUCGUUACGAGUCAAUUGCGUGUUUGUUGUGCAGUGGAUUUUUGCCUGUGAACGUAUUGUAAAAGCGGGUCCACGACGUGACCGAAAACCACAAUAGUUUUCCGGCUCAGCACGGCGGCCUGCGUUUCUCCAGGAGAACCAUCAUCCGCUGCCUUAGCCACUGUUUUUCCUGUGCUUUGAUUUUAGUAGCUUUUGUGUGAGCGUGUGGCUUAGCCACCUUGUUGCCUAGAGGGGCCGUCCUUACUGUUCAAUGUUUGUAUGUCUAUUGUAUGUGCUAUUUAUUUAGGCCAUUGGGUCAGUGCAAUAUUCUGGGAGGGGGGGACAAUAAUCUUGUGUGGCCAUUGGCUUGCUGAGAGUGAUUUCCACCGAUUUGUGUGUGGCUGAUGUGCUGUUUAUCGAGUGUUUGCUUACUGAGUCAUUUCUGAAGUUUACCGUGUGCUAUUCAUCCAAACACCUUUUGCUGUGAUCUUUAUUGCCCUCCACCGUGAAUUUGUUGCCCUGAAGGCCUACUGUCUGUCGUAUUGUGUAUGUUGUUUAAAAUACAAUAAACAUUGUCUUUAUUUUUGAUAAUA